ACGCUGGCGGCAGGCCUAACACAUGCAAGUCGAACGGUAACAGGAAGCAGCUUGCUGCUUUGCUGACGAGUGGCGGACGGGUGAGUAAUGUCUGGGAAACUGCCCGAUGGAGGGGGAUAACUACUGGAAACGGUAGCUAAUACCGCAUAACGUCGCAAGACCAAAGAGGGGGACCUUCGGGCCUCUUGCCAUCGGAUGUGCCCAGAUGGGAUUAGCUAGUAGGUGGGGUAACGGCUCACCUAGGCGACGAUCCCUAGCUGGUCUGAGAGGAUGACCAGCCACACUGGAACUGAGACACGGUCCAGACUCCUACGGGAGGCAGCAGUGGGGAAUAUUGCACAAUGGGCGCAAGCCUGAUGCAGCCAUGCCGCGUGUAUGAAGAAGGCCUUCGGGUUGUAAAGUACUUUCAGCGGGGAGGAAGGGAGUAAAGUUAAUACCUUUGCUCAUUGACGUUACCCGCAGAAGAAGCACCGGCUAACUCCGCGCCAGCAGCCGCGGUAAUACGGAGGGUGCAAGCGUUAAUCGGAAUUACUGGGCGUAAAGCGCACGCAGGCGGUUUGUUAAGUCAGAUGUGAAAUCCCCGGGCUCAACCUGGGAACUGCAUCUGAUACUGGCAAGCUUGAGUCUCCGUAGAGGGGGGUAGAAUUCCAGGUGUAGCGGUGAAAUGCGUAGAGAUCUGGAGGAAUACCGGUGGCGAAGGCGGCCCCCCUGGACGAAGACUGACGGUCAGGUGCGAAAAGCGUGGGGAGCAAAACAGGAUUAAAAUACCCUGGUAGUCCACGCCGUAAACGAUGUCGACUUGGAGGUUGUGCCCUUGAGGCGUGGCUUCCGGAGCUAACGCGUUAAGUCGACCGCCUGGGGAGUACGGCCGCAAGGUUAAAACUCAAAUGAAUUGACGGGGGCCCGCACAAGCGGUGGAGCAUGUGGUUUAAUUCGAUGCAACGCGAAGAACCUUACCUGGUCUUGACAUCCACGGAAGUUUUCAGAGAUGAGAAUGUGCCUUCGGGAACCGUGAGACAGGUGCUGCAUGGCUGUCGUCAGCUCGUGUUGUGAAAUGUCGGGUUAAGUCCCGCAACGAGCGCAACCCUUAUCCUUUGUUGCCAGCGGUCCGGCCGGGAACUCAAAGGAGACUGCCAGUGAUAAACUGGAGGAAGGUGGGGAUGACGUCAAGUCAUCAUGGCCCUUACGACCAGGGCUACACACGUGCUACAAUGGCGCAUACAAAGAGAAGCGACCUCGCGAGAGCAAGCGGACCUCAUAAAGUGCGUCGUAGUCCGGAUUGGAGUCUGCAACUCGACUCCAUGAAGUCGGAAUCGCUAGUAAUCGUGGAUCAGAAUGCCACGGUGAAUACGUUCCCGGGCCUUGUACACACCGCCCGUCACACCAUGGGAGUGGGUUGCAAAAGAAGUAGGUAGCUUAACCUUCGGGAGGGCGCUUACCACUUUGUGAUUCAUGAAUGGG
rnacentral:rRNA from 1 species